GUCUGCUUGGUAUAAAAAGCAGUCUGACCUGCCCACUGAUAUUUUUUAAAGGCCGCGGUACUCUGACCGUGCGAAGGUAGCAUAAUAAUUAGUCUUUUAAUUGAAGACUGGAAUGAACGGUCGGACAAAAAGUAAGCUGUCUCAGUUUUAAAAAUUGAAAUUAACUUUUAAGUGAAAAGGCUUAAAUACUCUCAAAGGACGAUAAGACCCUAUAAAACUUUAUACCUCUGCCAAUAAACUCCUAUUUAUGUGUUUAAAGUAAUUUAUUGGCCUGUGUAUUACGUUGGGGAGACGAGAGUAAAACAAAUAACUGCUUUCUAUUUUAAACAACUAUAUUUGAUACGACAUGACCCUUUCUAAAGAUCCAAAGAUAAAGUUACUUUAGGGAUAACAGCGUUAUUUUUUUCGAGAGUUCUUAUCGACAAAAAAGUUUGCGACCUCGAUGUUGAAUUAAAACAACCUUAUAGUGCAGCAAUUAUAAAGGUAGGUCUGUUCGACCUUUAAAAUUUUACAUGAUUUGAGUUCAAACCGGCGUGAG
rnacentral:rRNA from 1 species